rnacentral:tRNA from 1 species
AAUAGGGAAAUGAAGCUCCUAAUUUCUAAAUUAGGGGUAGCUACUA